rnacentral:rRNA from 1 species
GACGAACGCUGGCGGCGUGCUUAAUACAUGCAAGUCGAACGAAAAGAGGGAAAGAGCUUGCUCUUUCCGGAAUUGAGUGGCAAACGGGUGAGUAACACGUAAACAACCUGCCUUCAGGAUGGGGACAACAGACGGAAACGACUGCUAAUACCAAAUAAGUUCCAAGGGCCGCAUGGCCCAUGGAAGAAAAGGUGGCCUCUACCUGUAAGCUAUCGCCUGAAGAGGGGUUUGCGUCUGAUUAGCUGGUUGGAGGGGUAACGGCCCACCAAGGCGACGAUCAGUAGCCGGUCUGAGAGGAUGAACGGCCACACUGGAACUGAGACACGGUCCAGACUCCUACGGGAGGCAGCAGUGGGGAAUCUUCCGCAAUGGGCGAAAGCCUGACGGAGCAACGCCGCGUGAGUGAUGACGGCCUUCGGGUUGUAAAACUCUGUGAUCCGGGACGAAAAGGCAGAGUGCGAAGAACAAA